rnacentral:rRNA from 1 species
UACGGAGGGUGCAAGCGUUAUCCGGAUUCACUGGGUUUAAAGGGUGCGUAGGAGGGCAGGUAAGUCAGUGGUGAAAUCUCCAAGCUUAACUUGGAAACUGCCGUUGAUACUAUCUGUCUUGAAUAUUGUGGAGGUGAGCGGAAUAUGUCAUGUAGCGGUGAAAUGCUUGGAUAUGACAUAGAACACCAAUUGCGAAGGCAGCUCACUACUCAAUCAUUGACUCUGAGGCACGAAAGCGUGGGGAUCAAACAGG